rnacentral:lncRNA from 1 species
CGGGCAGUUCGAUCGCGACUUUGGUGCCGCACGGAUCACCAUUCUGGGUGAUUUCAAAUAUUAAAGUUUGAAAUAGAAGAAAAAAAACAUUUAAAAGGAAGAUCGUGAGAGUUCAAACCGGUUCGGUUCUCGGUUUCACUUUCGUUCGGUGACCUCAUGCGGCUUCGAUUCGGUCAAGGAUAUUCUCGCCAUUGGAUAUUAUCGCAACUUCAGUGAGUUUCGUUGUUACAUUGCAUAACGACAUAAAGCCCAAGUGUCCUUCGUCAUUUGGUACGUUUUUCUCCUGGUAUCCACUGUAGGCCUAUAUGUAUUUCCACCAUAAGGCACGCGGUGAAUGCCAAGAGCGAACGCAGUUCUACAAAUUACUCAUACCCAAUAAUAGACAGAAAGUGUUUAAAAGCCUGAAAUCAUAAUAGACAAAUUUGAAAUAAUAAAGAAAUUUGCG